rnacentral:rRNA from 1 species
CAUGCAGUCGAACGCGCCUUCGGGUGAGCGGCGGACGGGUGAGUAACGCGUGGGAAUAUGCCCUUCACUGCGGAAUAGCCUCUGGAAACGGAGAGUAAUACCGCAUACGCCCUUCGGGGGAAAGAUUUAUCGGUGAAGGAUUAGCCCGCGUUGGAUUAGGUAGUUGGUGGGGUAAAAGCCUACCAAGCCGACGAUCCAUAGCUGGUUUGAGAGGAUGAUCAGCCACACUGGGACUGAGACACGGCCCAGACUCCUACGGGAGGCAGCAGUGGGGAAUCUUGCACAAUGGGCGAAAGCCUGAUGCAGCCAUGCCGCGUGAGCGAAGAAGGUCCUAUGGAUUGUAAAGCUCUUUCGGAUGGGACGAUGAUGACGGUACCAUCAGAAGAAGCCCCGGCUAACUUCGUGCCAGCAGCCGCGGUAAUACGAAGGGGGCGAGUGUUGU